CUCGGAAGCUAAGCAGGGUCGGGUCCUGGUUAGGAUCUUGGAUGGGAGACCACCUGGGAAUCCCGGGUGCUCGAGG
rnacentral:rRNA from 1 species